UAAGCAUAAUGGCGCCGUGGUACACAGAU
rnacentral:piRNA from 1 species